rnacentral:rRNA from 1 species
AUGAGCGGCAGUCAGCACGAGGUCGGGGUGGAGGGUCAUGAGCACCAGCAGGCGCGUCGAGGGGCACCAUGGUCACUGUGGGAGCACGCCAAACCCGAAGGCCAUCACCAGCCACUGCUUAGCACACUGCGAGAUCGGCGGUCAAGGCCACGUUCACGGCUUCGGGGGACCACCCACGGUCACCAAGGUGGCGGCGUCCAUGUAGGAGAGAGAGAAGAUGAGGAGAGAGAGAGAAGGAAGGAGAGGAGGGACAAAGAGAGGUCAGUGGAGAGGGAGGUGCAGUGUCGUGAGAAGAAUACAAUGGGGCACGGUCUUCUGGAGGUGCAUCAGGUCCAUGCCAAGGGCCUCUCGGGCAGCGAUUUCCUCGGGAAGAUACACUCGUACGUGGUCGUGCAGUACCGGAGCCAGGAGCGCAAGGGCAGCACGGCCCGAGAUAACUACUUCAGGUUAGGCGGGAGAAUUAAAAAGGGUAAGCAUAGAUAUAUGGUCUAG